rnacentral:misc_RNA from 1 species
AACCCCUCAAGCACCGCUUGAUGUUGGGCGCCUGUCCCGCCGCCGCGCGCGGACUCGCCUCGAAGACAUUGGCGGCCUGUGUAUUGGCUACGAGCGCAGCAGACCGGCGCCCCGCCCCCAGUCGCACAGGCGCACCAGGAAGCGCGACCCCCAA